rnacentral:rRNA from 1 species
CCUACGGGUGGCAGCAGUGAGGAAUAUUGGUCAAUGGCCGUAAGGCUGAACCAGCCAAGUAGCGUGAGGGAAGACUGCCCUAUGGGUUGUAAACCUCUUUUAUGCGGGGAUAAAGGUGUCCACGUGUGGAUGUUUGCAGGUACCGCAUGAAUAAGGACCGGCUAAUUCCGUGCCAGCAGCCGCGGUAAUACGGAGGAUGCGAGCGUUAUCCGGAUUUAUUGGGUUUAAAGGGUGCGUAGGCGGACUGUUAAGUCAGCGGUAAAAGCCCGGGGCUCAACCCCGGCGAGCCGUUGAAACUGGCUGUCUUGAGAUGUCGAGAGGUAUGCGGAAUGCGCAGUGUAGCGGUGAAAUGCUUAGAUAUUGCGCAGAACUCCGAUUGCGAAGGCAGCAUACCGGCGGCGAUCUGACGCUGAGGCACGAAAGCGUGGGUAUCGAACAGGAUUAGAUACCCCGGUAGUC